CAAUUUUUGUACUGCACAAAAGUACUGACUAUUUCUCAGCGCUUUUGUCCAGUGCAAGAAUGGC
rfam:Caenorhabditis briggsae complete genome, chrX